CCAAUAGCGUAUAUUAAAGUUGUUGCAGUUAAAAAGCUCGUAGUUGAACUUCGGGGUUUACCCAUUGGUCAGGCUUAAUUGUCUGUACUGGUGAGAUGAAUCUCUACCUUCUGAGGAACUUUCAUGCCAUUUAUUUGGUGUGAUGGGAAAUCAGGACUGUUACUUUGAAAAAAUUAGGGUGUUUAAAGCAGGCUAACGUCUGAAUACAUUAGCAUGGAAUAAUGACAUAGGACGGACUGAUUCUAUUUCGUUGGUUUCUAGGAUCACCGUAAUGAUUAAUAGGGAUAGUUGGGGGCAUUAGUAUUCAAUUGUCAGAGGUGAAAUUCUUGGAUUUAUUGAAGACUAACUACUGCGAAAGCAUUUGCCAAGGAUGUUUUCAUUAAUCAAGAACGAAAGUUAGGGGAUCGAAGACGAUCAGAUACCGUCGUAGUCUUAACCAUAAACUAUGCCGACUAGGGAUCGGACGAAGUUAAUUUUAUAAUGACGCGUUCGGCACCUUACG
rnacentral:rRNA from 1 species